GGUGUGGAUAUGCACCCUGAAAAUAUUUGGCAUACCAGAGCAUACUUGGAUGUGUAUAUACAUAAUUGUGAGAAACGUGAAAAUAAAUUGUUUUAUAUUUUAAUAUUUUUCCUUAUGUCUAACUUUCUUUAAGCACCAAUAAUUUUUAAAAAUAUAAAAAUAUUAUAAAUAUUUGUGUGAGGCAAGAGGAAUAUUGUUGGGUCUUCUAGUUACAAACCAUAGGAUCUUAGAGAUAACAAUGAACAUUCCCAAAAGCUCCCAUUUAGGAAGUUUUUGGUUGAUGGCAUGACCCUUGAAGGGAUCUGACUUCCUGAGAGAGUGACUCAUAAAUAAUUACUCCUUUUUAUGAUACAAAUAUUUUUGAAGAACAGCUAAAGUCUUCAUUAAAAAAGCAUUAUGCUCCUAUGAGAUUUCCCCAUGCCUAAGAUUAAUAUCACAGUUGAGGAGACCUGGGUAUUUUUUUUUUACCUUACAAUUGUACAUGAAUAAUUAUUUUGUGCAGUGCCAUAGGUUAAAUGCAUAUCAUGAAAUUCACUUUCCUCCCGAUUGCCAUUUCUGUCACUUAAUUCAAUCAAAGUCCACAAAAAUACAGUAUGACUCAGAAUAUUGGAGCUGUGGCUAAUCAAGAAAAGUUCAUUCAAAAUUGAUUUUCUUUCAGGAAUCCUUGAUAUUCUUCAUUCCAAUUGUUCACCUCUACUGUAGGGCUCAGUAAACACUUAAGGAAGUUGCCGUGCACUGCAGCCUGCCGGAGACAUGAAGGAAUGUACGGGAGGAUAAUCGCAACAUCAUCAACCCAAUUCUCCAAGUAAUUUGCCAUGGGACAGGCACACCCCAUGUGUUUGGGAAGACAAUGGGAAGGUUCUGUUUUCUGCUCCAAGACUGAUUCAACCAGUUGGAUCUGGAAGGGGAUAAAGGGCUGUGUGGCUGCUUGAUUUUCAUUGUCUAGUGGCAGCCAAAAUUGGAAAAGAGAGAAGUGCAGACUUUAAAGACAAGCAGCGACAGCUCAUCAGCAGUCUAACAACACGACAGAUGACAGGCCCAGAGGCACACCCAGGGCCGCCAGCCCAUCACCCUGUGCAGGAUGUCAAAGAGCAGCUGCAGCAA
rnacentral:lncRNA from 1 species